AUAGCAGGUCGUUCUAUCGCUGUCCUGAAAAGGAGAGAGGAAAGUCCGGGCAACACAGGGAGCCGUGCUUCUUAACGAGAAGAUGUCUGUGAAGGCAUAUCCAGCGUAACAGAAAAAAACCGUUCCGGAUUUGUGCAAGCAAGUCCGGAAUAAGGGUGAAAAGGCGGAGUAAGAGCCCACCGGUGCUCCGGGUGACCGGGGCAGCCGUACGUCUCACGGGUUGCAAGACCAUGUAUACCGAUGUUUUAAGCUUUCCCGGCUGAAUCGGGGGGUAGGUCGCUCGAUCUGCAGAGUGAUCUGCAGACUAGAUAAAUGAUAGAAACCGAAAGGAACAGAACCCGGCUUACAGACCUGCUAUUUUU
rfam:Odoribacter laneus CAG:561 genomic scaffold, scf88